UGAACAUGGGUCAGUCGGUCCUGAGA
rnacentral:piRNA from 5 species